UCAACAAAACCCAACACCAGAGAGAAGAAAAAUCAAAAACCCAUUACCAAAAACGAAAUCAGCUUCUACGAUCUUGGCCUUCUUUGAUUCUGAUUUCAAUAAUCUUCAAUCUUCAACUAAUCUUCAAUCUUCAGGCCUUUGACAACUUCUAAAUCUCUAAUUUUCCAGAUUCGGUUUUGAUAACUUCUUCGAUCUUCGGCAGCUCCCACAAGUGCUGGAUUCAUUGGUGGAACCUCUUCAAAAGACUAUCAAUUUUAAGCCAAGGCAAGAUGCUGUCAAGCAAGAAGUAGAUCGUAAUGAAGACAUGAUUCGCAGUGCCCUUCGAGCAAUUGCAUCCUUGAAUCGAAUAAGGAGAUUCAAAUAGUCCCGAUGUCCCAAUCCCAGUCUCAGA